rnacentral:rRNA from 1 species
AGUCGAACGAUGCCUUCGGGCAUAGUGGCGCACGGGUGAGUAACACGUGGGAACAUACCUUUCGGUGGGGGAUAACAUCGGGAAACUGAUGCUAAUACCGCAUACGCCCCUUGGGGGAAAGAUUUAUCGCCGAAAGAUUGGCCCGCGUCCGAUUAGCUAGUUGGUGAGGUAACGGCUCACCAAGGCUCCGAUCGGUAGCUGGUCUGAGAGGAUGACCAGCCACACUGGGACUGAGACACGGCCCAGACUCCUACGGGAGGCAGCAGUGGGGAAUAUUGGACAAUGGGCGCAAGCCUGAUCCAGCCAUGCCGCGUGAGUGAUGAAGGCCUUAGGGUUGUAAAGCUCUUUCACCCNCGACGAUGAUGACGGUAGUGGGAGAAGAAGCCCCGGCUAACUUCGUGCCAGCA